ACGAACGCUGGCGGCGUGCCUAAUACCUGCAAGUAGAACGCUGAAGGAAGGAGCUUGCUCUUUCUGGAUGAGUUGCGAACGGGUGAGUAACGCGUAGGUAACCUGCCUGGUAGCGGGGGAUAACUAUUGGAAACGAUAGCUAAUACCGCAUAAAAUUGAUUAUUGCAUGAUAGUCAAUUAAAAGGUGCAACUGCACCACUACCAGAUGGACCUGCGUUGUAUUAGCUAGUUGGUGGGGUAACGGCUCACCAAGGCGACGAUACAUAGCCGACCUGAGAGGGUGAUCGGCCACACUGGGACUGAGACACGGCCCAGACUCCUACGGGAGGCAGCAGUAGGGAAUCUUCGGCAAUGGACGGAAGUCUGACCGAGCAACGCCGCGUGAGUGAAGAAGGGUUUCGGAUCGUAAAGCUCUGUUGUAAGAGAAGAACGAGUGUGAGAGUGGAAAGUUCACACUGUGACGGUAUCUUACCAGAAAGGGACGGCUAACUACGUG
rnacentral:rRNA from 1 species